rnacentral:tRNA from 1 species
GGGGCUUUAGCUCAUCCGGUAGAGCGCCUGCUUUGCAAGCAGGAGGUGAGGGGUUCGAGUCCCCUAAGCUCCA